AUACGGAGGGUGCAAGCGUUACUCGGAAUCACUGGGCGUAAAGCGCGCGCAGGCGGGCUGAUAAGUUGGAUGUGAAAGCCUACGGCUCAACCGUAGAACUGCAUCCAAAACUGUCAGUCUAGAGUCUGGGAGGGGAAGAUGGAAUUAGUUGUGUAGGGGUAAAAUCCGUAGAGAUAACUAGGAAUACCAAAAGCUAAGGCGAUCUUCUGGAACAGUACUGACGCUGAGGCGCGAAAGCGUGGGGAGCAAACAGGAUUAGAAACCCCAGUAGUCC
rnacentral:rRNA from 1 species